GAAGGGAAGGGGAAGAAGGAAGGAAGGAAGGUUAGGGGAAAGGCGGUGAACGGUUCUCGAUAAUCGCGGAAAGCGUGCACGCACGUGUACGCAAGCCUCGUGGCCGUCAGGACGCGCGCGAUAGAUUCAAAGAACGUUAUUUUAUUCUCGUUUACGUUUGCUUAAGAAAAAUUAUUGUG